CUGAGGCAUAUAGUUUUUAAGGUACUUGCUGAGGCAUAUAGUUUUUAAGGUACUUGCUGAGGCAUAUAGUUUUUAAGGUACUUGCUGAGGCAUAUAGUUUUUAAGGUACUUGCUGAGGCAUAUAGUUUUUAAGGUACUUGCUGAGGCAUAUAGUUUUUAAGGUACUUGCUGAGGCAUAUAGUUUUUAAGGUACUUGCUGAGGCAUAUAGUUUUUAAGGUACUUGCUGAGGCAUAUAGUUUUUAAGGUACUUGCUGAGGCAUAUAGUUUUUAAGGUACUUGCUGAGGCAUAUAGUUUUUAAGGUACUUGCUGAGGCAUAUAGUUUUUAAGGUACUUGCUGAGGC